CUAUGUGCCAGACCCAGGGUUUGUGGAUUCCCAUGAUUUUCAGGGCACCUAAAAGUUAGGUGUAGCAAUACCGAAUCCCCUUGUGGAUCUGGAUCUACCUCUUCUCAGUUAGUUGUCUUUUUACAGGAUCCUUUUCUCCAGCAUGUCUUUUUGGGGCUGCCCCUUUAAAAUGGGCAGAACCAAGAAGCUGCAGCCAUUUUGUUACUGACUGCUGCUUGCUGCAUCUCCCUGCCCUCCAUCUGACUAAAUUCACAUGGGAAUUUAAGUGGCACUCACAAAAUUGAGAAGAUGCCCUUAUGCCCAAUAUGCUCUGUGGUUGGCCAUUCACCAGGGAUGUUGGAGAUCCAGGUUUGAAUCUGGAGCAGGGGCUGGAACCAGGUGUACUUCCUCUCAGGUGAGUGCCCUAGCUACCAGGUUGUAGUGUCAUUCUCUCUCAGGCCCAAUGACUGUUCAAGUAUGUUCUAAAAAGCGGAAUUGAUUCAAUGUAGAGAGACCUACCUUAAAAUAGCCAAUAAUCUGGUGGAUAGGACAUUCACCUGGGAGAGAAGAGAGCAGGGAAAGGAGGCCACCAACACUGUCUGCUCCUUGGUUUUGUGGAUGGUGCCCUAAAUCCCCUUAUGAAUCUAGUCUGAAAAUCAAAAUGAUUUUACUGCAAUUGGGCUAUAAUUGAGAAGGCUUUCAUGCAAAUAGAGCUCAGAUUGUGUGAAGACAGAAGAGGCCACUUGUAGAACAGCUCAGCUGCCAGCAAAAGCAGGUGCUCUCACCGUAUCUGAGCUCCAGAGGAAAUAUUUAAAACAGUUGUCCUAGAUAGAGUUACAGCUUUGUAACACACUGCAUGGAAACUUCAACUCUGGAAAUGGAAAACCUGAUGCUUGGCUACAGUUCCUGUAAACUUAUCUGGACACUGCUUAUAACAAUUUUAGGCUAUACCAGCUGUCUGCCUGUGGAUGAUGAUUCUGUUUGCACAGCAGAAGAAAUUGCUAAGUACAGCAUAGUCUUUGUAGGGAAAUGGAGUCAGGCUGCUUUCCCUAAGCAGUAUCCCCUUUAUAGGCCUCCAGCACAGUGGUCUUCCUUGCUAGGUGUUACCCAUAGUUCUGACUAUAACAUGUGGAAAAAGGAUGAAUAUGUCAGCAAUGGUGUGCGUGAUUUUGCUGAAAAGGGUGAAGCCUGGACAUUAAUGAAGGAAAUAGAAGCAGCUGGAGAAAAAAUUCAAAGUGUGCAUGGAAUCUUUUCAGCUCCUGCCAUUUCCAGUGGUACAGGACAAACCUUCACGGAAUUAGAAGUACAUUCAAGGCACUCCUCAGUUUCUUUUAUUGUACGAAUUGUGCCCAGCCCUGAUUGGUUUGUGGGUGUUGACAGUCUAAAUCUAUGUGAAGGAGAUCAUUGGAAAGAACAAGAAACAGUAGAUCUUUUUCCAUAUGAUGCUGGAACAGACAGUGGUUUCACAUUUUCCUCACCAAACUUUGCCACUAUUCCACAGGAUACUGUUACAGAGAUCACUUGUUCCUCUCCAAGUCACCCAGCAAACUCAUUUUAUUAUCCCAAGCUAAAAAGUUUGCCACCUAUUGCUCGAGUAACCAUUGUAAAACUUAAAAGAAACCAGCUGGGUCUUCCUGGUUCUCAGCCUAACCUGACUGCAGUAGGCAAUGAAAUAGAUGACUCUGUCUCAGAAACGCCAUUGGACUGUGAGAUUUCACUGUGGUCUUCCUGGGGUCUUUGCAGAGGUACUUGUGGAAAGAUAGGGACCAAAACCAGAACUCGUUAUGUACGCCUUCAGCCUGCCAAUAAUGGAACUCCUUGUCCAAACCUGGAUGAAGAAGCAGAAUGUGAACCGGACAAUUGUAUCUGAAAUCUCCUUUCCAAUGGAAUAAAGAAUAGACAAUAAUCUAGAUCAUUUAAAUUCAGGACUCAGAUGAGGAUCCUGACGAGUCCUGAAGAAAUUAGAACUUUUAUCAGCAUAGUACAUACUGGUCCUCCAAACACUGAAUAAACAAUUAAAACAAAUACUCGGCUCCAGUUUAAUACAGCUAAGUAUUUAAAAAAAAACACACUAACUUUUGUCAUUUCUGGAUGCCUUGCAUUCUUCUGAUUAUCACUCUCCUGUCCUCCAUCCCCCUUGUUUCACUUAUUCUUGUUUAUAACAGUUUCUUUUUCUCCAUGUUCCUCCUGUGUCCACAUUCCUACAGGUCAUUAGCUCUCAAAUAUCCUGAUUUUGGGGAGAAAGGAACUUUUCUCAGGUCUCUCUACAUUCUGUAUUACAUUUAUGUCCUUUUCCAUUCUUUCUUUAUUUUCUAUUCAGAAGUCUUCCUUAUUUUCUGUUUUUGGGUUUUAUUUUAUUCAACUGUAUAAAUACCUAGAUAAACAAUUACAUCCAUCACGAGGGUAUCAGAACAACUUUAAAACGUAUUAAAAUAUACCUGUGAAGUAUGCAUUUAUUCUUGCCCCUUCCCCAAUCCAUUCUCAUUGCCCUUUGCCCCAUUUCAAUGGGCCAUCCUGCUCUGUGAGACAUUCAUGUCACUGCAAGAGAUGGAUUCAGUCUCCAGUAUCAUUCCUAUUAGUGGUCUGGACAGAAUUUGAACUGUUGACUGAUAAACGGCCAAAGGCUCCAAAUCCUAUUACUUGUCCAUGUUUCUGGACUGAUGCUAGAACCCUAAGUUGAAACAUAAUAUGUGAUGGUUACAAACACUAGGAAUGAGAGGAUAAGAAGGAACUUGUAAUAUUUUCCAUGGGAUCUCAUGACAACAGCUGUAACUUAUAACAACAUGAAAUAUAUAAUAAAGGGCAUAUUUUUCAAGUACUCAGCAUCCGCAAAUUGGGGCUGUUUUUUCAAAAGCAUUCAACCAGCACUUCCAUUAUGACAUUUAUGUAACACCCUUGGGGUUUAGAGAUCAUGGCCCCUUUAAAACCUUGUCCUGAGGCAGAGGGAGUGCUGAUUGUUGCAGCAAGAGGAAGUGCUGGUUGUUCCAGGGGUGUGGAGAGAGGUAAAGUGACAGGGUAGGUCUGUCUGUAGUUACAGAGAGAAGGACUAUAACAAGCAGGCCCUCACAUAGUGAAGCAGACGAGAACCAGCCCGAAGCCUGGGUGGGACAGAGUGACCAACCAGGAUUGCCCCAAUACAGGAGACAGGAGGAGCACUAUGAUAAGGAGGAAUCACUUGAGAAGGACAAACCGGAGCUGGACUCAGUAUCACAAUUGCCCAGAGCUGGACGGGGCUAUGAGUACUGGGCCAUGUCACCUUGCACUGGACAUAAGGAGAGAGGCUGUAGCUCUGUGUGGGUUUGCAGAGAACGGCAGAAAAGGGACCAGAGGACUUUAUUGUUGAAAGGUUACUGGUGCCGAAGACGAGCAGGAGCACCCCAGACUCAUUGCUGUACUGGUAUUCUGCCCAGGGUUCCUGGACUCUGAGUGUAGACACACUGCUUGGUGUCUGUCCUUUUGUAUUGUGGUACCACUGGACCUGUGGAGCCUUGUGUUUGGAUAUCACACUGUUUUACCACUCCCCCUAUCUUCCCUCAAGUUUUGCUCCAAUCAUCCUUCUGUAAAUAAUAUUUUCUUUUCCUAUAUUCAUUGUACUAUGCUGGUGUGUGUGUUUACACCAGUGGAUGUGGAACAGGUGCUCCUGGGCUAGGGGAGAGUUUCCCGGAUGCGUUCCUGCACAUGCCUUUUGUUGGCUGAAGCUGCCUGAAGAGCAGACUCAAUCUUGGCCAUGAGGGUGCAUUUAUAACCAGGUUUCCUAGCAUGCAGGAGAUGGUCACUUAUUUGUAUGGUAAAUCUGCUGUGUUGAAGAUUUUGCUUUUCACAUACUGGCUGUUUGUGUCCCCAAAUCAGGAUGAAGGAUAGUCCCUUGAGACAGGAAGUGGGAAUCCUGAGGUAAAUGCCUGUAUUUGUCUAUUGAUGAUUGAAGCAGCUAUUGUGAAACAAAUGUAUCCUAGCAAGUCAACUGUGAAAGCACUGUCUCCCAGAAUCUUGUGAAUCACCUUGUGGAAACUGUAGAGGACACUGUGAUACUGGGCCAUCACAAAAAUAUCCAUGUGUGUCAUCUGCAGAUUGUGACAGAGGCUGCAAAAAAUUCUAUGGAUAGGUGUCCUUUCCUGGAAAUUAAGGCCUGGCAUAAUGAAGGAAGGAAACUCCAUAUGCCUCAGAAAACUACUCUGGGUUUUCUGAUGGUUGUUCUUUCCUCACCUCAUCUUAUGGCACAAUCUAGAUUCAGGCCAGGCUUUAGUGGAACUGAUGGAUGAUGUCCUGCAGCCAAUGCAUAGAGGACAGACUCUCAUCCUCCUGAACUUUUCUGCAGCUUUGAUAAGAAACUGCACCUCUAUUAUUAGACCCCUCACUUGUGGAGUCUCAAAAGGAUCAACUCUAUCUUCGUUCUAUUCAACAGCUAAAUACAGGCACGAAGUGGACUGGUCAGAUGCCAAGUGCCAGCAAUAUACAGAUGAUACACUGCUCUGCAAGUCUUUCGCAAUAUAUGAUACCACUACCACCAAGAUGGCCCACAAUUUGAAUGACAUCAACUCAUGGAAAAAACCCAACAGGUUGAAGCUGAACCCAAGCAAGACAGAAGUUAUGUUAAUAAGCAGAGGAAAGCAUUUUUAAAGGGGAAAGAGAGGAGAAAUGCAUAAUAGAAGACAUUCCAAGUGAUACCUUGAUUACUGGGAGUUACAAGGUACAGCAAUGGGACAUG